GGAUGUGAGGGUGAUCUUCCUGGGACAUCUGUCACCCACUGAUUGCCAGGGCUGCUGAUCAGGCUGGCUAGGCAGGUGUCCCAUUCCUCCCUCACCACUCCAUGUGCUUCCCUCCUGAAGCUACAUGCUCAGUUGAAGAUGAUGACCAUCCCCGACAGAGAAGGACUUCGGUCAAGGGUAUACGAGUAGCUGUGUUCCCCUGCUCGAACCUCCAAACAAGCUCUCAAAAUAAAAAAUAUUAUACUAAAAUGGACGUGCAACUCUUUGACAAUAAAUAUGAAAACCUAUAAUACACAAAGGACUCUCUUACAAAUUUUAAGUUUU
rfam:Papio anubis isolate 1X1155 chromosome 11, whole genome shotgun sequence.